GUUUAGUAGGCAGCACAUGUACUUAAAUUGGAACAGUACAGAGAAGAUUAACAUGGCCCUGUGCAAGGAUUGCAAGCAGAUUAGAGAGGUGUUACAUAUUUUA